GACGAACCGUGCAACCGUUAUUCGGAAUCACUGGGCGUAAAGGGCGCGUAGGCGGCUUUCUAAGUCAGGGGUGAAAUCCGGCAGCUCAACUGUCGCAGUGCCUUUGAUACUGGAGAGCUCGAGGGAUGUAGGGGUCUGUGGAACUUCCGGUGGAGCGGUGAAAUGCGUUGAUAUCGGAAGGAACGCCGGUGGCGAAAGCGACGGACUGGACAUCUUCUGACGCUGAGGCGCGAAAGCCAGGGGAGCAAACGGG
rnacentral:rRNA from 1 species